rnacentral:rRNA from 1 species
CCUACGGGGCGCUGCAGUGGGGAAUAUUGGACAAUGGGCGAAAGCCUGAUCCAGCCAUGCCGCGUGUGUGAAGAAGGCCUUCGGGUUGUAAAGCACUUUCAGUGGGGAAGAAAGCCUUGGGGCUAAUACCCUCGAGGAAGGACAUCACCCACAGAAGAAGCACCGGCUAACUCCGUGCCAGCAGCCGCGGUAAUACGGAGGGUGCGAGCGUUAAUCGGAAUUACUGGGCGUAAAGCGCGCGUAGGCGGUCUGAUAAGCCGGUUGUGAAAGCCCCGGGCUCAACCUGGGAACGGCAUCCGGAACUGUCAGGCUAGAGUGCAGGAGAGGAAGGUAGAAUUCCCGGUGUAGCGGUGAAAUGCGUAGAGAUCGGGAGGAAUACCAGUGGCGAAGGCGGCCUUCUGGACUGACACUGACGCUGAGGUGCGAAAGCGUGGGUAGCAAACAGGAUUAGAUACCCGUGUCGUC